CCUACGGGAGGCAGCAGUGGGGGAUAUUGCACAAUGGGGGGAACCCUGAUGCAGCGACGCCGCGUGGGUGAAGGAGCGUUUCGGCGCGUAAAGCCCUAUCGGCAGGGAAGAAGGAGGACGGUACCUGACUAAGAAGCCCCGGCUAACUACGUGCCAGCAGCCGCGGUAAUACGGAGGGGGCAAGCGUUAUCCGGAUGUACUGGGUGUAAAGGGGGCGCAGACGGCAGCGCAAGCCAGGAGUGAAAGCCCGGGGCGCAACCCCGGGCCUGCUCUUGAAACUGGGCGGCUGGAGUGCAGGAGGGGCAGGCGGAAUUCCGUGGGGAGCGGUGAAAUGCGUAGAUAUCAGGAGGAACACCGGUGGCGAAGGCGGACUGCUGGACUGCGACUGACGUUGAGGCCCGAAAGCGUGGGGAGCAAACAGGAUUAGAUACCCCUGUAGUC
rnacentral:rRNA from 1 species